AGUAAUUUCGCUCUUUGCCACCCACACCUUCUCUUGCCAGACGUAAGUGAUCCCUCGGCGAAAAAGGAGGAAAUUCGGGUUACUGCCUAAGAAAAAACUUAGAAAUUCAUCGCAGGCGCACCGAUUUCGACAUGCGUUCGAAACUAUCAGUGAAUUAGCGCCCAUUUUCGAGGCGUAAAUUAGCGCAAAUCUUCUGGGCACAUAUUGAUCUAGGCAAUUCGUCCCAGCACAAUGCGGAAAAUGUGCCUGUCGUAAAUUUGUCCAGAUGCAAGAUAAGGAAUUUAGAAUAUGUUUGUGGAUCGGGUUGUUUGAAUAAUCCUAUUACAAGAUUAACGGUGGAAAUCAAAAUAAAUUAAUGGAGUUCGCUCCAUAAAAUUUAAUUAGAGGCCAAUUAGCAAAAUUCUGCACCAUUAAUAACCGUACAUGCAACGCUUCAUGUUAUCACUGGUUUAUCGUACGUACUUUACGACUGCAUGACCAAUUUUUGAAAACAAUUUUUUUUAUCACAGUUACACGACGUUGGAACAUGCAAAAUUUAGUUCUAGCCCAUCCAGGCAGCGAGUCUUACCAAAAUCCAAAAAAGUAUGGGAUAAACCGAAGACCGGAAUAGUCGCAUUGAAGUACUAUACAUACAAAACGGUGCAUGGGAUGGGAAGCAGCGACGAAUUAUCCAUAAAGCACAAAUUGACUUCCAUUUCCCGCAAACCGUUCAAAAUUCAACGGCCCUUUCGAUAUCACUUCACUCACUUUAGCCGAUUCAGAUCCUCCUGUAUGAUAAUGUUUGUGGCUUGUUAGUCAACAAUCAAUCAAGUUUUUACAUUUUGUAUUGCAACAAAAUAACACUAAAAUGCGUUUUUUC